rnacentral:rRNA from 1 species
GACGGAGGAUGCAAGUGUUAUCCGGAAUCACUGGGCGUCAAGCGUCUGUAGGUGGUUCGAAAAGUCCACUGUUAAAAAUUGAGGCUUAACUUCAAAGAUGCCGUGGAAACUUUCAAACUAGAGUAUGGUAGGGGUAGAGGGAAUUUCCAGUGGAGCGGUGAAAUGCGUAGAUAUUGGAAAGACCACCGAUGGCGAAGGCACUCUACUGGGCUAUUACUGACACUGAGAGACGAAAGCUAGGGGAGCAAAUGGG